rnacentral:rRNA from 1 species
GUGAGGAAUAUUGGUCAAUGGGCGGGAGCCUGAACCAGCCAAGUCGCGUGAAGGAAGAAGGAUCUAUGGUUCGUAAACUUCUUUUGCAGGGGAAUAAAGUGCAGGACGUGUCCUGUUUUGUAUGUACCCUGAGAAUAAGGAUCGGCUAACUCCGUGCCAGCAGCCGCGGUAAUACGGAGGAUCCGAGCGUUAUCCGGAUUUAUUGGGUUUAAAGGGUGCGUAGGUGGUUUGAUAAGUCAGCGGUGAAAGUUUGCAGCUUAACUGUAAAAAUGCCGUUGAAACUGGCGGACUUGAGUGUAAAUGAGGUAGGCGGAAUGCGUGGUGUAGCGGUGAAAUGCAUAGAUAUCACGCAGAACUCCGAUUGCGAAGGCAGCUUACUAAGCUACAACUGACACUGAAGCACGAAAGCGUGGGGAUCAAACAGGAUUAGAAACCCGAGUAGUCC